rnacentral:rRNA from 1 species
GUUGUAUGGUUAAGUGACGAAGCGUAUACGGUGGAUGCCUUGGCAGUUAGAGGCGAUGAAGGACGUGUAAGUCUGCGAAAAGCUGUGGUGAGCCGACAAAAUGCAUUUG